rnacentral:rRNA from 1 species
AGUGAACGUUGGCGGCGUGGAUUAGGCAUGCAAGUCGCACGAGAAACUAAUUAGCUUGCUAAGAGGUGGACAGUGGCGCAAGGGAGAGUAACGCGUGGUUACUUGCCCUCGAGACCGGGAUAGUGUCGGGAAACUGGCAGUAAUACCGGAUAACAUCUUCGGAUCAAAUGGUGUGAUUCCGCUCGAGGAUAGGACCGCGUACUAUUAGCUUGUUGGUGAGGUAAUGGCUCACCAAGGCUUCGAUGGUUACCGGGUGUGAGAGCAUGGCCCGGCUCACUGGGACUGAGACACUGCCCAGACACCUACGGGUGGCUGCAGUCGAGAAUCUUCGGCAAUGGACGAAAGUCUGACCGAGCGACGCCGCGUGCGGGAUGAAGGCCCUCGGGUUGUAAACCGCUGUCAGUAGUUAGGAAGUCCAUGAGGGUUAUCUCUCAUGGUUGACCGAUCUUCAGAGGAAGGACGGGCUAAGUUCGUGCCAGCAGCCGCGGUAAGACGAACCGUCCAAACGUUAUUCGGUAUCACUGGGCUUAAAGCGUGCGUAGGCGGCUUGGUAGGUGAGAUGUGAAAGCCCACGGCUCAACCGUGGAAUUGCGUUUCAAACCCCCAAGCUCGAGGAAGAUAGGGGUGAUGGGAACUUAUGGUGGAGCGGUGAAAUGCGUUGAUAUCAUAGGGAACACCGGUGGCGAAAGCGCAUCACUGGAUCUUUUUCUGACGCUGAGGCACGAAAGCUAGGGUAGCGAACGGG